UACAGAGGUCUCAAGCGUUGUUCGGAUUCAUUGGGCGUAAAGGGUGCGUAGGCGGCGCGGUAAGUCGGGUGUGAAAUCUCGGGGCUUAACUCCGAAACUGCAUUCGAUACUGCCGUGCUUGAGGACUGGAGAGGAGACUGGAAUUUACGGUGUAGCGGUGAAAUGCGUAGAUAUCGUAAGGAAGACCAGUGGCGAAGGCGGGUCUCUGGACAGUUCCUGACGCUGAGGCACGAAGGCCAGGGGAGCAAACGGG
rnacentral:rRNA from 1 species